GUGAACGCUGGCGGUAGGCCUCACACCUGCAAGUCGAACGGCAGCACAGUAAGAGCUUGCUCUUACGGGUGGCGAGUGGCGGACGGGUGAGGAAUACAUCGGAAUCUACUUUUUCGUGGGGGAUAACGUAGGGAAACUUACGCUAAUACCGCAUACGACCUACGGGUGAAAGCAGGGGAUCUUCGGACCUUGCGCGAUUGAAUGAGCCGAUGUCGGAUUAGCUAGUUGGCGGGGUAAAGGCCCACCAAGGCGACGAUCCGUAGCUGGUCUGAGAGGAUGAUCAGCCACACUGGAACUGAGACGCGGUCCAGACUCCUACGGGAGGCAGCAGUGGGGAAUAUUGGACAAUGGGCGCAAGCCUGAUCCAGCCAUACCGCGUGGGUGAAGAAGGCCUUCGGGUUGUAAAGCCCUUUUGUUGGGAAAGAAAAGCAGCAGGUUAAUACCCCGCUGUUCUGACGGUACCCAAAGAAUAAGCACCGGCUAACUUCGUG
rnacentral:rRNA from 1 species